rnacentral:rRNA from 1 species
UUAAGUGACUAAGCGUACACGGUGGAUGCCUGGGCAGUCAGAGGCGAUGAAGGACGUACUAACUUGCGAUAAGCGCAGAUAAGGCAGUAAGAGCCGUUUGAGUCUGCGAUUUCCGAAUGGGGAAACCCAACUGCAUAAGCAGUUACUGUUAACUGAAUACAUAGGUUAACAGAGCAAACCGGGGGAACUGAAACAUCUAAGUACCCCGAGGAGAAGAAAUCAACCGAGA